GAGAACAAGAUGUUCUGUUGUUGCCCUACAUUCAGUGGCUCUGGGCUUCAGGGAGACCAGACAGAGAGAUGUUCAUGUGGCUAUGGACAUCAGCUCAGACUCUUCGCCGAAGCUUCUGGUUAUGUGCGUGAGACCUCAACAGAACCAGCUGCCACGGUUUGGAAGCCUGACACAUCUUUGAUGUUCAGACGCCAGGUCAUAGCAGGCAAGAUGAGAAGUUGAGUGCUGAGGACCAAGCUCAACUUCAAAGCUGCACCCAGGAAAUCUUGGAGGAGAUGUUCUGUGGCUUCAACACUUCUAACUCCCUAGACAAUGAUCGGGUGCACCAGGCAAACAAGGAGCAGUGCUGUUCCGAGGUCUGAGUUGAGAGAAAUGCGGGUGUUGCUCAACUACUUGAAUGUAUUGAAGUUGCCAAUGCUGUGCCCUGCGUCCCAACCAACCAAUGGUAUUUUGAAGCCUAGAUCCUUUUUCUGUGUGGGCCCUGAAGUCCUUUGUCCUCCAAAACUUCCUGAGGGGAUGGGUAUCUCUGGGCUGAGCGCCAGACCCUGUUCUUCCCAGUGGCCCGUGGUUUGAAUGCUGACCACAGCGCCCCUCCUUGUGUCUCUGGUGUGGAAAGGAAACAUCCACCCUGACCCUGGGUGAGGCCUGGACCAUGCGUAUGCUCCGAGAAGGCAGAAUAGAUACUUUGUUAUUUUUUAACAACUUUAUUUUUUAUUGGUGUUCAAUUUACGAACAUACAGAUUAACACCCAGUGC